CAGAGGGGCCCCACGUCCACGCCCUGCCCCAGUGGCUGGAGAGGCUGAAAACAAAGAGAACCAUCAUGAGGCAAACGCUAUGAGUCAGCAGCCGCUUCGGCGUGGGUACAGGCGCCCAUACAACUAUCGGCGUCGGCCACGCCCACCCAAUGCUCCGGCUCAGGAUGGGAAAGAGACAAAGGUGACUGAAACACCUGCUGAAAAUCCUGCUCCAGUGACUGAGCAAAGUGGUGCUGAGUAAUGUCCGGCUCCCCAGGCACCUUUACCAUCCCUCAGGUGUCCAAAAAUACAACUCAAAAGUAACACCAAAGAAACACUCCAGCAAUAAAUCAUCAACUGUCAUGAUGAAAGCAAAGAUUCAAAACAUUGGAACUUUAAAAGAAAAAAUAUUACCACCAGCUGAGAUCCAGGGAACGCCUGCAAGAUUGAUGCAUGAAGAGAGAACAAGAGAGCGAGAUUCAGGAAGAGCAACCUCCCCAGUUUCAACAGCAACUGUGGGUUUUUUUUUUUUAUUUUU